UAGGACUUUUGGGAACUUGAAAUUGAU
rnacentral:piRNA from 1 species